rnacentral:misc_RNA from 1 species
GAUGAAGAACGCAGCGAAAUGCGAUACUUGGUGUGAAUUGCAGAAUCCCGUGAACCAUCGAGUUUUUGAACGCAAGUUGCGCCCGAAGCCAUUAGGCCGAGGGCACGCCUGCCUGGGCGUCACACGUCGUUGCCCCCCCAUCUACUCCUUCGGGAUUGCGGGGGGCGGAUGAUGGCCUCCCGUGCGCCUCGCCGCGCGGUUGGCAUAAAUGCCAAGUCCUCGGCGACGCACGCCACGACAAUCGGUGGUUGCGAAACCUCGGUUGCCCGUCGUGUGCGGUCGUCGCGCAUCGAGGGCUCGAAAAAAUUGCCGGGUUCCGGCUCGGCUUUCAACGCGACCCCAGGUCAGGCGGGGUUACCCGCUGAAUUUAAGCAUAUCAAUAAGCGGAGGA